GGAGAGGUGGCCGAGUGGUCGAAGGCGCACGCUUGGAAAGCGUGUAGGCGGUUUUCCCGUCUCGUGGGUUCGAAUCCCAUCCUCUCCUCCA
rnacentral:tRNA from 4 species